rnacentral:ncRNA from 1 species
UCCUGAGAUGAAAUCUGAAGGAAGCUGGCGGCAAACAUCUGACCUAACGAACAGAAACUUCAUAUAAGGCAUAUAAUCAUGGAUAAGAUUGCGUAACAAAUCAAAGUCCUAUAGCUAUUCGGAACGGUUGGUGUAAAUGAAGUAGGCAUAAGAUGGAAAGAUAAU